UGAACCUUGGGAUUACUUGUCUAUAGUUCUGCCAGAGGCCUCUUCAGAUUGUGAUUGGUUGGGAACAAGUCACCAUGGAUGUGUUCUCAGGUUUCCAUCUUGCUGUCAUUGCACGAAAAAUGGAACCUAUCAAAUGUGUAGCAGAGAGGAAGUUUUUGAAUUCUAUAAAACUCUUCUGAGAUUGGAAUGACACACACUCACAAUUAAAACAAAAAAGGAUGACUCCAGGUAUACAAAAUAACUUUAGAGCUGUGGCAAAAUGAAGUCAGUAGGAUCUCCAUGGACAAUCAAAGGAAUCUUAGAGAAGAUCAACUACCAGGGGAGUCUUAGGAAACUUUAAGGGCAUUCCAAUAGAAGUUACAAGCUAAAGCAAAGACGUCACUGAGAACAAGAGAAAAUUAAAUCAAUGGAAGGAAGGCGGGGCUGUUGAAAGAGAAAGGAAUCUCUGUCCGCCACAAAGAGCUCCAUGUCCAAGCUGAUAUGCUCAAACUCAAGGAUUAUAGUGCCUGGCAAGCUAUGAGACUGGCCACAAGUUUUUUAGCUCAGUAUAACGAAGUUUCUGUUUUUUA